rnacentral:tRNA from 1 species
CCUUCGAUAGCUCAGCUGGUAGAGCGGAGGACUGUAGAUCGAAAGUCAGACAUCCUUAGGUCGCUGGUUCAAUUCCGGCUCGAAGGA